rnacentral:rRNA from 1 species
UACGAAGGGGGCUAGCGUUGUUCGGAAUUACUGGGCGUAAAGCGCACGUAGGCGGAUAUUUAAGUCAGGGGUGAAAUCCCAGAGCUCAACUCUGGAACUGCCUUUGAUACUGGGUAUCUUGAGUAUGGAAGAGGUAAGUGGAAUUGCGAGUGUAGAGGUGAAAUUCGUAGAUAUUCGCAGGAACACCAGUGGCGAAGGCGGCUUACUGGUCCAUAACUGACGCUGAGGUGCGAAAGC